rnacentral:rRNA from 1 species
CGCUCGUAGCAAUACGGGACUGGCGGAUGGGUGAGUAACGCGUGGGAACGUGCCCUGAGGUACGGAAUAACUGCGGGAAACUGCAGCUAAUACCGUAUGAGCCCCGUGAGGGGGAAAGAUUUAUCGCCUUAGGAGCGGCCCGCGUCGGAUUAGCUAGUUGGUGGGGUAACGGCUUACCAAGGCUUCGAUCCGUAGCUGGUCUGAGAGGACGAUCAGCCACACUGGGACUGAGACACGGCCCAGACUCCUACGGGAGGCAGCAGUGGGGAAUCUUGCGCAAUGGGGGCAACCCUGGCGCAGCCAUGCCGCGUGAAUGAUGAAGGCCUUAGGGUUGUAAAGUUCUUUUGCCCGUGACGAUGAUGACGGUAACGGGAGAAUAAGCUCCGGCUAACUUCGUGCCAGCAGCCGCGGUAAUACGAAGGGGGCUAGCGUUGUUCGGAAUUACUGGGCGUAAAGCGCGCGCAGGCGGUUCGAUAAGUUAGGGGUGAAAUCCCUGGGCUCAACCCAGGAAUGGCCUUUAAGACUGUCGAGCUAGAGGACGAGAGAGGUGAGUGGAAUUCCCAGUGUAGAGGUGAAAUUCAUAGAUAUUGGGAAGAACACCGGUGGCGAAGGCGGCUCACUGGCUCGUUUCUGACGCUGA